GAGGACUGGCACCCACCGCCUCUGCCGCGGGCUGUGCCAGCCGGCGUGGGGGCUGUGGGCAGUGCCAGCGGACCCUCCUGUGAUUACCAGGGCUCGGGCGGCCAGGUGAAGGUUUCCUGGGGCUGGCAGCCCCCUUUGGCUGUCGGGGAGGUGGCUGUCCAUCCCCCCUGCCCUUGGCUGGGGUCCCAGCGCAGCAGGAAGGGAGCCGGUCCCACACAGGCUCUGCCUGACAGCCGGGACCACCCUGAGCAGGGGAACACCCGGGGAUGGCCGGAAUCUCCUCGGGCUCCCAUGGGGCACCCCAUGCUGGGAAUGCGGUGGGGAUCUGCUCUCCCUGCCCCGGGACACAGCUGCGGGAGAGGCCCUGGGGACGGCAAGGACUCGAUGGUGACGGAGCAGCCCUGCUCAGUGGAGAGGUGCCAGCAUUGGGCAGCCACGGCCGCCAGCUGGGAGGGAGGGGAAAGCACCGGAGCAAAAUCCUGACACGGGGGGAGGUGAUCUCAGGGCUGAGCCUGCAGGACAGAGACUCCCCCCAUUUCCACAGAACACACACCAGGCACAAGAGAGCUCAGGAGCUCCUUCCAGGAGCAGUGACAGCACAGAUCCUGGCACCCCCAGCAUGUCAGGAACCCCCAUCUGCAACAGACACUGCACACUCAGACACACUCACAGAACCACAGACACCGUGUGCACACACACACAGAACCACAGACACUGUGUGCACACACAGACAGAACCACAGACACUGUGUGCACACACACACAGAACCACAGACACCGUGUGCACACACACACAGAACCACAGACACCGUGUGCACACACAGACAGAACCACAGACACCGUGUGCACACACACACAGAACCACAGACACUGUGUGCAGACUCAGACAGAACCACAGACACCAUGUGCACACUCAGACAGAACCACAGACACCGUGUGCACACUCAGACACACAGACAGAACCACAGACACCGUGUGCACACACACACAGAACCACAGACACUGUGUGCACACACACACAGAACCACAGACACCGUGUGCACACACAGACAGAACCACAGACACCGUGUGCACACACACACAGAACCACAGACACCGUGUGCACACACAGACAGAACCACAGACACCGUGUGCACACACAGACAGAACCACAGACACCGUGUGCACACUCAGACAGAACCACAGACACCAUGUGCACACUCAGACAGAACCACAGACACUGUGUGCACACUCAGACACACUCACACAGAACCACAGACACUGUGUGCACACUCAGACAGAACCACAGACACCGUGUGCACACACAGACAGAACCACAGACACUGUGUGCACACACAGACAGAACCACAGACACUGUGUGCACACUCAGACAGAACCACAGACACCGUGUGCACACUCAGACACACAAACAGAACAACAGACACUGUGUGCACACUCAGACGGAACCACAGACACUGUGUGCACACUCAGACACACAAACAGAACAACAGACACCGUGUGCACACUCAGACACACAAACAGAACAACAGACACUGUGUGCACACUCAGACGGAACCACAGACACUGUGCACACUCAGACACACACACAGAACCACAGACACCGUGUCCCAGAGUGUUUGCUCUGUGCUGGGGAUGUGGGGUGUCCUGCUGUCCCUGUCCCCCUGUCCCCCUGUGGGGACACUGAGGCAGGAUCCAAGCUCACAGCAGGGCUGUGCUGCUCCAGAUGGAUGCAGCCGAUCACUCAGGGUGCCAGGGAGGGAGGAAAUGGCUGCUCACAGCCACUGUCGGGGUAAUGGGGAAUUGCCUUUUUCCCUGGCUGCUUCGAUCUGCUGCCAUUAAUUAACUGGAGGAGUAAUGAUC
rnacentral:lncRNA from 1 species